GACGAACGCUGGCGGCGUGCUUAACACAUGCAAGUCGAACGAAGAGCGAUGGAAGCUUGCUUCUAUCAAUCUUAGUGGCGAACGGGUGAGUAACGCGUAAUCAACCUGCCCUUCAGAGGGGGACAACAGUUGGAAACGACUGCUAAUACCGCAUACGAUCUAAUCUCAGCAUCGAGGAUAGAUGAAAGGUGGCCUCUACAUGUAAGCUAUCACUGAAGGAGGGGAUUGCGUCUGAUUAGCUAGUUGGAGGGGUAACGGCCCACCAAGGCGAUGAUCAGUAGGCGGUCUGAGAGGAUGAACGGCCAAAUUGGGACUGAGACACGGCCCAGACUCCUACGGGAGGCAGCAGUGGGGAAUCUUCCGAAAUGGACGAAAGUCUGACGGAGCAACGCCGCGUGAGUGAUGACGGCCUUCGGGUUGUAAAGCUCUGUUAAUCGGGACGAAAGGCCUUCUUGCGAAUAGUGAGAAGGAUUGACGGUACCGGAAUAGAAAGCCACGGCUAACUACGUG
rnacentral:rRNA from 1 species